rnacentral:rRNA from 1 species
GACGAACCGUGCGAACGUUGUUCGGAAUCACUGGGCUUAAAGGGUGCGUAGGCGGGUUGUCCAGUCUGGGGUGAAAUCCCACGGCUCAACCGUGGAAUUGCCUCAGAUACUGACGACCUCGAGGGAGGUAGGGGCGAGCGGAACUGUGGGUGGAGCGGUGAAAUGCGUUGAUAUCCACAGGAACUCCGGUGGCGAAGGCGGCUCGCUGGACCUCUUCUGACGCUGAGGUGCGAAAGCUGGGGGAGCGAAAGGG